CUUUAAGAAAAGAAAAAGAAAAAAAGAAAUCAACAGCUAGCACCUCAACACGCUUAGCCUACUUCUUAACAAGAGCUUCUUAGCGUGAGGUGAUGUCCUCGCAUUUGGCAACAAUUCUAUUGGCACUCACUUUAGUGGUUGGAGUCCUCUGUGCCCUGCAUUCCUUUUCUUGUCUUUAAAUUGUUCGGUAAUCCCUCUUCCCACCUUACCAGUAUCUCCUCCUACCGCUUGGCACAUAACACACACACACACACACACACACACACGCACACACACACACGCCAUUUGGCUCUUAAGGUUUGCUUUGACAAAACCUCUCCCUGCAUCCCUACAUGGCACAUUCACCCAUCCCCAGCAGUGGAGGCAAGAUCAAAAGGACGCAUUAAGCGUGCGAGAGCCUCUCUGUAGUGGUGAAGCAGUAUGAGUGGACCAGUAGCAUGUGAUUCUAGUGUGAGCAUCUGUAUUGGGUUGAGCCAUCUCAGAUUAGAUUUGAUCAUAGACAAUUUCAUAACAAUGUGUGAUUCUAUGAAUCCCAUUCAAAAACAAAUCAGAGAUAUCAAGAAACAUCAAGGUACAUUUGCUGAAAUGUAUCAAUUUUACUAAAGGUCACAGUACACAUACUUGGGGAUACAAUGUGACUGAUUUUACUGUAGCAAACUGUAAUUUAGGCCCCUUCUGGAAAAUGAUCCUUACCCUUUAAAAAAACCAAAAUGAAAUCAAUCAAUAAAUAAAGUCCCACCCAUAUGGAGGCUUAUUGCUCCCUCCUGAGUCUUGCGUCCUCUACUAGAGGCCCGGCACUUUGAGGCUUCCCUCUCGUAUCUCUCAGUCAGAUAGGUUUCUAAGAUGGCCCUUUGAGGCUUCCCUCUCGUAUCUCUCAGUCAGAUAGGUUUCUAAGAUGGCCCUUUGAGGCUUCCCUCUCGUAUCUCUCAGUCAGAUAGGUUUCUAAGAUGGCCCUUUGAGGCUUCCCUCUCGUAUCUCUCACUCAGAUAGAUAGGUUUCUAAGAUGGCCCUUUUGUAGAUGUUAGAUUUGAACUGCUUGGAGCCAUUCUUUUGACAACUGUCUGAUCCAUGGAGCCAU
ensembl:lncRNA